GAGUUUGAUCCUGGCUCAGAGCGAACGUUAGCGGCAGGCUUAACACAUGCAAGUCGAGCGACAAAGGGGCUUCGGCCCUGAGUAGAGCGGCGGACGGGUGCGUAACACGUGGAUAAUCUGCCUCGUGGCGGGGGAUAACAGUCCGAAAGGACUGCUAAUACCGCAUGUCAGGUCGGAAACCCUGGUUUCUGACGAAAAAGAGGGCGCCCGCAAGGGGCUCUCACCACGAGAUGAGUCCGCGGCCCAUCAGCUAGUUGGCGGUGUAAUAGACCACCAAGGCUAAGACGGGUAGCUGGUCUGAGAGGAUGACCAGCCACACUGGGACUGAGACACGGCCCAGACUCCUACGGGAGGCAGCAGUGGGGAAUAUUGGACAAUAGGGCGAAAGCCUGAUCCAGCCAUGCCGCGUGAGUGAUGAAGGUCUUCGGAUCGUAAAGCUCUGUGGGAAGGGACGAAAAAG
rnacentral:rRNA from 1 species